AUCCAACUGACGAGUCCCAAAUAGGACGAAACGUGCGUCCUUGAU
rnacentral:hammerhead_ribozyme from 1 species